GGGCCUGUAGCUCAGUUGGUUAGAGCAGGGGACUCAUAAUCCCUUGGUCGUAGGUUCGAGUCCUACCGGGCCCA
rfam:Thiotrichales bacterium SG8_50 WOR_8-12_8075, whole genome shotgun sequence.